UACUACUUUCACGCUCCUCAGUGUAAACUGUCUGCAGUCCCCACGCUCUCCAAAAUCAAUCUCGGAGAGCAAGGCAGUGUUUUGCUGAGAUUAAGCAGAUUUGCAAAUUAGGAAGAUUAAAUGGAAAUGUAAUGAAAUGAAAAUUAAAUGUCCUUCUAUUUUUUUAUUAUUAUUUUUUAUUUUUAUUAUUUUUUUGAGAGAGACAGAGACAGAGACAGAGAGGAAGGAAGGAAAAAAAAAGGAAAAAUCGCCCUUUCCUGGGAGGUGUCUUUUGAGUGAUCCCCCAAAACGCCUUUCCCGGAGCAGCUCCCUGUCAAACUACACGCGCUCCCGUCCGGAGGGACUGAAAAGUGAUUCAAACUCUCCGGGAAGCACAGACAUUUUUAAUUCCAUCUGAUGCAGCAGCUCGGAAAGCAGCGAGAUCAGCCACCGGGGCUGCAAAGGAGGCUCUCUGCCUCCUCAAAUCCCCCAAAAGCAGAGCGGUUUUACUCAUCAAGGAAACAGCCGAGAAAAAGAAGGAUCGGAGGCACUCACCAGAGCGUAGACCGAGCUCAGCACGGAGCAGCAGAGGAUCAAACCCAGGCUGUGAUAAACCAGAUAUGAUCCCAUAUCCAAGGGGCUCCUUCCAGCAUCCACGCUCUCUCGGGGAAGUUGGAGGACGGAGAGGUCUUCCAGCGCUCCGCUUGCAGAUGAUUUCUCCUUCCCUCCCUCCAACCUCCCCCCCCCUCCACCUCACUCUCCAGAACCGGUGUUUGUUUGUUUGUCUGUUUGUUUGUUUGUUUGUUUUAGCCGGAAAGGCACAUGACGAGAAAGCCCGGUCCUUUGCUUCGCUUUCUCAUGGCUGGAGAUGCGGGCAGCUCCCGAAAGGCAGCGGAGGAGCCCAUGCGAAGAAGCGGAGCGACUUCGGCUUCGCUCAGCGCCGCAGCCCCCGGUGCUGGUUGUUUUCCGCGUGCAUCUGUCUCAGAGCAGAAAAAUCACAUCCAUAUGUCAAAGCCGCGCUCUUCUGUUUCCUUUUUAUGAGGCAGUGGGAAGUUCAAAUAAUUUCUUUGUCAAACGCAAACACACAGAAAGAGGCUUUAAACCACGGCUUUAUUUUUAGAUCCAGUAAUUUUAUCUUUUGGGUUUCGGAGGGGUUUGGAAAGAAAGAGAGAGAGGGAAAAAAAAAAAAAAAAGCCUUUUUUUUUCUUUUAAUUCUUUUUCUCCACUUUCGCCACACGAACGGCUCUCAGAGCAGAAAGUUACGGGGAAAAAAAAUAGCGAAAACUUGGAGAUAUUUUCCCUCCUCAUUUACUUUUUCUUCGCAAACAGCGGUGCUUUUGGGGGGGACCUUUUCCUCCUUUUUUUUUUUUUUUUUUUCCUUGCUGGUGUAUCGCCGCGCGUUUCGCCUCCACAAUAGGUUUAUUCUCCAGCCCUCCGGGUCGAAGUGUGUUUCAGUUACAAAUCGGGAUUUUUUCGCUCCUCUCUCCCCUCUCUGCCUCAGAGGAUCUGCAGUUUCAAAAAGCCGAUUGAACACGGCGUGAAAGCGUGAGGCUGACGACUCCCCCGCCUCCUACCGCCACUCUCUCUAGUCCUCGUUCCGUGCCCCGCAAGGAGGAGCCCCCCGCGGAACCCCUGGCGCAUCGCAUCCCCGCUUUCCCCCCCUCAUGUCCCCAGCACCUCGCACCCCUCGUGGAUGUCACCAGCAUCGCAGUUUCAAGGCUGGGGAUGGUGCUCCCAGCUCAGCCGGGCGCUUUCAUUCAUAAAAUGGCAAGAUUGUAUCCAUGAAUGUGUGUAUAAUGAACCCAGAAGGAAUGCAGCACUAAAAGAAGCCUUUGUAAUGUUGCUAUUUUAAGGAGACCCUUGGGUAUGGCACGUGUUGAACUGAGUUUCUCCAACAUCUUACAACAAACCAAAAUGUUUAGAUCCUCCUACUGAUGUAAGACAGCAUAAAAAAAAUACAUAAUCAAUCUAAACUGGCUAAGGUUUUGACCAGGAAUUAUUGCUCCUGUGAAUUGGCUCUGUAUUGUAGCUAACUUUUACACAGCCUAAUAAUAAACAUCUCCUCCUCCCAGCUGGGUGAAUGUUUCCCCUCUGCUGGAGAUCAGGUCCCAGUCUGGAUAAAACACCUCUUGUCCUUUCUCUCCUCGGUCACUCAGGUUCAGUGAAACAUCAUGACUUACAUCAGCCAAAGCCUUUGAUCAGGGAGGGAAAGGUCUGACAUGGAUGGGGUUGGCAGCCACGCUGCAAGAAUCCCUCAUUGUGCAAGAAGCCAGUCCAAUGACCGACUGUCACCAAGGGUGAGACAGCCUUUUCUGCUCUGUUUGCUCUGUUUUCACUUGGCUAUUGCUGGCGUUUUGUUUGCAAAAUCAAGGCCAAAAUAUACAAGAAGCAGCUUCGAACAUGUUGGGUUUGUGCAUUAAGCCAGAUAGCCAUCAUGAAUUUCUGGCCAUUUUUGUUGUAUGUGUUGUAAAGAGCAGAAUUUUGCUGUCAGCAUUUUGUUUUCACAUGGUCAGAGAGGAGAAGGAGUAUAAUAGAGGUCCAAUUGACACUGUUUACACAAAGAUGAAGUCGUAACUCUUGGCUGAGAUGACUGUGGAAGUGGUGUGUGAUGGCUUCUUUGUUGGCUCUUUAAGAAAACAUCUGCUCUGGAUCUCGUGGACAAAAUCUAGGGUGAAAAAUUCUCUCAUUGCAAAAUGAGAAGCCGGAUGAAAAGCCCAGAGAAGCUGUGGGUGCUCCAUCUCUGGAGGUGCUCAAGGCCAGGUUGGAUGGGGCCCUGGGCUGCCUGAUCUGGAAGGUGGUAAUCCUGCCCAUGGCCCCGGGUUGGGGCUGGAUGACCUUUGAGGAUGUUUCCAGCCUAGGCCGUUCUAUGAUUCUAUGAGUUUCUCCAAUAGCAUCCAGCACUCAAGGAACAGGGCUGCUUUGGAAAUGUAUGUCAGAAUAAGAAAAAUACAUUUUUUGUACUCACACAUUGAACAGCGAAUGAAUGCUCAAGAAGAAUGAGGGUGAGAAUUGAAUCCAUUAAAACACUUUCUGGGACAAUAUUUUUGCUUUCAGCAGCUUUCUCUUCUGCUUUGCUUCAAUUCCUUCUAAACUCUGCUCCCCUUCCUCCAGGUGGUAUGAAAUAAAAAACAGUAAUAAAUAGAUUUUUCUAUAUAGGAAAAAAAUCAAAAACAAAUAAAAAUAUAUUUUUAAAAAUUUAGAUUUCUCUGUAAAGACUCUUCAUUAAGUACACAGAAAUGCUUGUGAUAUGUGGCCAUAGAUGGGCUGUACGCCUCUUCUAAUGCCCUGCAGUAUGGUUUACAAGGUGACUCAGUAACUGGGGCGAAGUCAUCGUGGUGGGUUUGGGUGCCCUACAUGAGAAGACGCAGAAAAUGUGUCAGAAAAAGGAUCACAGACCUGAAAAUGGUUUGGGAGAAGAGAGAGAUGAGGCGUGUGGAGUUGAGGUCUUGGGUUAAGGCAACAAAGGAGUGUUGGAGGUGACAGAUGAACCCAAAGGCAUUUUGCAUCUUAAGCAGGCCAGAUGGGUUAGCAAAGUCACCAGUAGAACACAAUUGUCAGUGGCUCCAUACAGUGACCUUUAGCUGAAACAAAGCUAUACAAAAGGAGCUCAGGGCAUGCAAGUAGGUGAAGGAAAAUCCUCAUCAGCAAUAGGCUUGGCAUCCAUUUGGUUGUGUUUUCAUGCAGACAAGGUGGGGCAGACAGGCUCUACACAGCAACACGUGCUCUUGCCUUAUCCCAUCUCUGUUGUUCUCCUUGCUGUAGGCUGAUGCUUUGGACCCAGAAAGACACAAGUGGGAUGGAGAUCAGAGCCCUGGGCUUUUCCCCGCAGACCAGCAACUGGUGCCAUUUCUGGCUGAUUCUCUACUUUUCUCUUCCUAGUGAGGGUCUUUUGUUAUUUAUCAGCUCCUUUCAAAGCAACAGCCUGAGAGAUUUCACAAUACUUUUCACAUAUGGUUACUCAGCCUGGGGCUCUCCACAGCUUAGCUGUUUCAGUGAUAUUUGCACAGCACUGAGCAACAGCAUUCCUGACCUGCAGGAGAAGUGAGUGCCUCAAACCUCCUUUUCUCCAUAUACACAAGAUCUUUUUUUGCUCUUAAAAAACCCCAGACCCCUCUCCCCAUCCCUGCCAGUUGCACGGCAGACUGGAUGUCCCUGGCAGCACACUUGGGCUUGCAUCCAUUUUUCUUCUUUGUGUGUGUGUGCGUUGUCAUCCAAUGCAUGGCCAGAACCAAAGGAAAACUCAUGUGUGUGUUGUCAUCCAAUGCAUGGCCAGAACCAAAGGCAAACUCCAUUUGGGAGGUGAGCAAGGAAAACCCCUCCAAAACAGCCAGGAGCUGAAAAGAUUUGGCAAGCUUUGCAGGAGAAAACUGCCAGCAGGGAAAGACGAGGUGGAGGCAUUACUCUGACAGAAGAAGCUCUGAUUAGCAGAUUAUCACUUAAGUGAUGUUGAUCCCAGCCACGCUGCCUUCCAAAUGAGCCCUUUCACAGCUGCCAGCUGCACCACGGAGUCGUGAAUGUAAAUGAGUGGGCCAGAUCCUCUGCUGGCAUCCAUCGACGUGGCUUUGAUGGACCAUCCUGGAUCUACAACAGCCGGAGGAGUGUGGCUGUCGUGGGAGCCUGACUUGCUAUGCAGAUUUCUUUGAGAGCCUGUGGGAAAGGGCCUGAAGCUGGAUGUACUGCAGGAUAGGGCAGCAUCAACUGCACAGCUGGAGGGACCCUUGAGACUUUGACUUUUGCUGCCAAACAAAGCCAUCUUUUUGCUGAGCUUGUAAACUGUUCCCUGGUACCGUACGCCAGCAUAUAGCAUCCUGCCCUCAUAAAGCUCUACUUAUCUCCAUCCAACUUCUUGGGCUGAGCGUGUGGGAAGCAUGUGAGGGACACUCAUGAGCAGCCUUGCAUUCUCCGAGCUGUGCUUUCCCCUGGGGAAGGCAUACUUGACCUCUGGCCACGUCCAUCCAAUCUGACAGACUGGUCUUCGGAGAAUGGUGACCAAGAAUAAGCUCCAUGUCCCACAUGCCACCUGUUCAUCUGCACCGCUCCCUCUCCAGCAGCUCAUGGGCCAUGCCCAGCCUAUGUGUGACACCUCUCUGGCUGCUCAGAUGGAAAGUAAGAGCUUGGAGAGUGAGGACAGCAUGGAGUUAUGGAAGACAUGGCUACAAGAGCAUUCUUUCUCCAUCUCCAUGUGCUUCUGAAGGACCAGUCUGAUUCUGGCUCCUGCCAAGUUAGGAUAUGCUAUGAUUCUGUGAACACUUUUUGCAGCAAGUCAGCCAUAAGAAACAACAUACUCUCAGACAAUCAAGCCUCCAAAUUAAGGUGGGGAGACUUGUUGUGAAGGAGAUGGUUUUUUUUUUCCUACUGUAGAAGGGAUGUUCAAUGCUAUAGUGACAAGGAACAAUUCUUCAGCCUUAGACAGCAGAAAGAAGAAACAUAAAGAGACUGUACAGUUCUUGGGACACCGAGACAACUAUCUACGUGCUUUGUGGAAGCAGAGACAAGUAUGAGAUUUGGCUUUCUGGGCUAUGAGGGCACACAGCUGGCUCACAUCCAGCUCCCAUCCACCAUUUAGAUAAGAUACUAUUGCUUUUAAUAAAGACAAGUCAAAGAUCUUCUCCUAAGUGCUCUUAAAGAACUCCAGCAUUGUGUCUACAAUAAUCCAUCCGCCUUAAAGGAUCCAGCAGUACAUCACCACCAGUGGAUAUAAGAAGUAAUUAGUCAUCAUUUAGGGAAGUAAGAUUUAACAGUUAUUUUGUUGGCAGAAGUGCCGUGAUAAAAAUGGUACUCUGAAAGUUAUUUGGUAUUUCUCAUUGUUGCCAGAGUUCUGAACAUUUUGAUAGGAUGAACAUAGACUUCGGUAGGAAAGUUGUGGAUUUUUUCCCCUCCAUUUAGUAGAAAUAUAAAUGUUACAAAAUAAAUAAUGAUAGAAUAUAUGUGUAUAUAUUUUCAAUGCAUAUUUUAAAAUGCAUAUGAAAUGCAUUUUUUAAAAUAUUUUGUUCAAAUAUUUUUACUAAUGUUGUAUACCUUGCAUCUGUGAAGAGGGUUAUCCCUUAAACAUCCUUUCUUCAGACAGUACUGGGAUUCAUCCUCAGGCCCCGUUAUCUUGCUCUACGUUUCCUAGAGUCCAUCUAUAUAAUAAAUCAGAAUACUGCAUGGUUACACAUCGUAAUUAUUUUUUAAAAUUAUUUUUUAUUUUUUUGCUGAUUGGGGAAAUGGUGAAAACUGGUUUUUGCAUAUUUCAACAAUGUUACUCAGCCAAGUAAAAGAACAAGGGAGCAGAAUGGAAGAGAAAUGAAGAAAUGGAAGGAAGGAAGGAAGGAAGGAAGGAAGGAAGGAAGGAAGGAAGGAAGGAAGGAAGGAGGGAAGGAGGGAAGGAGGGAAGGAAGGAGGGAAGGAAGAAGGGAAGGAAGGAAGAAGGGAAAGGAGGGAGGAAGGAAGGAAAUACAUCAAUCUUUGGAACACAUUUUUUGUUGUUUGUUUGUUAGUUUUUUAAAGGGUUUUGGGCAUUUUCAGUUUCGGAACAUUUUCCAUCUUCUCUAUUAAAACUCAUUUCUUAGUGCUAUUUCAGCAGAAGCGAGUGUUGAAUCAAAUUUCUUUUCGUAGUAAAUUUUCCAAAUCAAGGAUCCUUGCUCUUCAGUAUUGGUGUAGUCACAGACAAUGAAUUUCUAUCUUUCAGUAUGAGAUCUUUGAACUGAAACAUUUCUCACAGAGAUGUCUUUGGCAUUGUCUUCUUCUGGUCUAUUUCUCAGUGUGAAGGACUGUGAAAAGAAUAAAGUCAUAUAUUGUGUUUGAGGGAUCAGACUCUUAUUGUUAGGACUGAGCACGUUGGGGACUAGUGGGUAUUCUUUCUUUACCCUUAUCUCCACUUUUCUCUGUGUGAUACUGGCUGGGAGAUUCUCAGUGGGUGGAACUUUAUCCUCUGCUGCCUAGGGGCAAAGUAAUAUUUUGGAUGCUCGGAAUAAAAAGUACUUAAAUAAAUGUGUUAGGGACAGUUGAAGUAGUGUCGUUCUUAAUUUAAGUCAGGGGGAGAUCAGACGACGUCUCGAGGUCCCUUUUGUAUCUACUUCUACUACAAUUCAAUGAUCCUUCAGUGAUGCUGGAUCACAGGCAGGGAACCUUAUCUGUGACCAAUUGUACCAACUGACUUGUUCCUUCGAGUGCCAGAUUAGAUCUUACAGUGAAAUUUAAUUAAAAAGGAUUCAGUUCAACCGAAGUAUCAGGAGAAAUUUCCAUAGCGGUCUCAUCCUGUCUCCAUAGGAUUUUUCACUUCAUUGACUUCUUUCUUGUUUUGUUUCUUUACAGCAGUGGGGAAAUGAUCUUUUUUUCCUUGUCCAAGAACUUGAGCAAGUCGUUACGUUUCCCAGUUUUGCUUUACUGAAGUGAGAGCUACUCAGUGUUCUUAGUUUUCUUCAGCACCUCUGUUGUGUCAGGGUGUUCUGCAGAUGACAUUCUGCUGUGUUUAUAAGGAUCUAUGGAAGAGCCUGGAUGCCCAGAUCUGGCCACAGGCUGACCCAGUCCCAGAAAUAUAGAUCACAGAAUCCCAGAUGGGGCCUGAUCUGGAUGUAGUGAUCUAAGCAGUGAAAUAUCACUUGCUUUCACUUUUUCAGGAUGUGAUUAAUUUGUUUAUCAGAAUGGGUGGAAGAGCUGAAGUAGAAACUGAAACAAGCUGCAGGUGUCACAGGAAACAAGCCUUACUGAGCCAAGAAGUUAAAUCUUAUCUCCUAAUAAAUGGAAAUGAAUCAAUGUUCAUUAAUUCCAGAGGAGCUAAGGAAAGAACAAUCUGUGUGCCUUGCUCUGCCAGAAGCCUUGGGACAAACGGAACCCCUGGCCAUCUGGGUCUAUAGAGAGACAAAUGGUUUUGUAGAAGCAUGGUAAAUAUGGGAACUGGCCACAACAGAUUUGUGCAGUUGCAGUUAAAUAUUGCUUUCUGUCACCUCUAAAUCAAAUUUUGUCUCUCCUUGUCUAGAACAGGCCUUGUUUUCUUAUCCUAAAUGAUAACCGUGCACAGUAGGAGUGGGAUUUAGUAUCCAAAAGGUAGGCAUUUCCUGAUUUGUGAGAUACUUUGUGCCACACAGCAAAUCCAUGUGGAGCUGGAAGACUGGAAACUGGGUUUAGGGGGGACUCCUGCCAGUCUGGAGAGGAUCCCAGGAAGACCCUUUGAGGCAUUGCAGUGGUAGUGAUCUGUAUUCCAACUGAAUCCUUCUGGUCCUGCAGUGAGACGGCAGGUGUUCGUAGCAGAAAGGUCUAGAUGGUCAGACCUAGGGAAGAAGUCAGUACUGCAUCCCAUUAUUAUAAGCAUGAAGUCAUAGAAAAGAACUGUAUUGUAUUGGCAGCGCACUCUUAUUGUCUGAGCUCAGGCCAUUUGAGGCAACAAAGAAAGAAAAACAAAAAACGCUGCACAUCGUUGGAGAAGGAGCACUGCCAAAGCACAGGGUCCCCAGAGAUCAUGGCAGAAAGAGAGACCCAAAGCAACAUCUUCCAUGUGGCUUGAUUCAAUGGGUAGCAUUAAAUGAAAGGGAUGCAUUUCAUCAGUCUCCUGUUGAUGUCAAUCCCGCGUGUUGAGAUGAAAUGUAGACUUUUCUAAACUGAAAUGUUUCCCUCCAGGAACGUUUAAAUAUUUUGACUUUGUUCCAGUUUGAGAGGAAAACAAAUGCCAAAAUAUCAGUGUCUCCCUGUGCAAGAGCAAUGUCACUGCCCCAUGUGCUGUGCAGUUGCAUUUGUUGCUCUGUUCAUUGCACCUAAUGUCUUUUUCAUUGGAAAGCUUUAUUUGGAGAUGUUUGGGGUUGGUUCUGAAGACUGCAACAAGGCCGAGCAUACUUCUGUGAGCUUUCUUUGCUUUUUUUCUUUGUUUUCCAAGUAACGUGAUAAAUUGAAUCAUGUAUAGAUUCCACAUGCAUGUGCCUAGACUUUACUUGCAAAUGAGCAUGAAUUUGCAUGCAGUCAUGCACAUGUAGUGGCAAGAAGAUAAUGAAGACAAACGGAAUCGUUUUUAUGCCAAAUAGUGGCAGUUGAGAAAAUGGAAUGGAAUUCUAAUGACAUCAUGCCAGAAACGUAGAGAGAAAAUACCUAAAAAGAGAAAAGGGAGAAAUGAUUACUGUGCACCUAACUCCCAGAGGGAAGCAAAUCUUUAUCUGAGUGGUAGGAUACUUUCUGGAGUACCAUAAAUAACAUAAUAAUUGUCCAACAUAAUAGCAAAAUUCAUCUUCUGAAUUUCAGCCUGAACUGAAGAUACACUUCUAGGGUAUCUUAGGUGCUUAUCUUUGGGUGGGGUUGAAAGUCAGGGCUGUCUUCUUUAACCAAUGUCUCUAUAAGGAGUAUAGAGGAUUACUUUAAAGUAGAGAACUUAAUUUCAGAUGGCUAAAGUUAGCUGAAAUUGAUCUCAUUUUUCUGUCCAUCCCCUGCUGCUGCUCAGGCUCCAGUUGAAGACAUUCUAUACUCAUUAACUCCAAGAGUUUCUAGUGAGCUAAUAAAGGAAGGAAUUUACGAUUUCAGAAAAGGAUAAACAUCAAAAUCCCUGCUCUCAACAAAUAGCCUUGAAAAAAACAGAGGGUGAUAUGCUACAUAGACAGAGGUCUUGAAAUAGAAAGUUGGUUCAACAUUUCUGUGAGAUGUCAGCAAUUUUUAACUGAGCUUUGCCUGGAGAUAUUCAACUAGUUGGAACUAAUCCAUUUCCAGAAGAGGUGAAUCAGUGUCUAGCAAUUCACUAAGCCAGUUGCCCAAGUGCUCGCUGCUGAAAAUCUGUGCCGGUUGCUAAAAAUCUGCAUUUCAUUGCCUUCGUGAGGGUAGAGUCCACCGGCAUGCACAAAUGCAUCCAAGGAGGCAGCCACAAGGUCUUGUUUGAACUGGUGGGGAUGGGAACUGCAUGUGUCAGGCAGAACAUCUCAGGCCAGACCGUAAACCUUUGCGGGUGUGAGACGAGUGGGUGAGGGGUGGGGAAGGAAAAGUGCUGUGUGCACUAGGGGACGGUUUUGUCACUGAGUAUAAAUUGGCCCUAAGUACUUUGCAGCUGCAGUGAAAAAAUUGGUCUCUGCCCAUCCAAGGGGACUGGAAAUGAACCUUCAGGUAUAAUAGGGGCUGACACUUUGACAGUUACUUGAAUACGGAGCAGCAUACAUUUGCUUAAAUGUUCUGUAACAACUUCUCGUGAAAUAAAUGGGGCUGGAUUAAAUGGUCAAUAAGCCUCUUUUGCAUUGGCUUUCUUUAUAGUAAGACAGCAGAGAUUUGACAUCAACCUACUGAUUGAGUCUGGCAACAAUUUAAUCAGGUCUUUGCUUGUAGAAUGGAAUAAUGCCUUUCUCUUCCUAGGACACAAAGGAAAGCCAAGAAAUUAAGCCUCUUGUUUAGGAUUUGAAUGACAUUAAAAUACAAACUUAAGAAAACUCCUUUCUGUGAGAAUUCCUGUAGCACAGUAACUGUAGAUGGGAUUCAACUUGCAUAUAAAGAUAGCUAAAAUUAGAGAUGAGAUUCAGCCAGAUGUUCAGUCACCCAAAAGUGGAGGUAUAGGAAUAUGUAGGAGUCAACUGCAAGUGAGAAGACACUACACGGGCCAUUCUCUUACAACAGCCAUAGCGUUCCUGAAGGUGGAAAAGAAGACAUCAUGUUCAUUAACAGCAUUAAAGGUAAAAAUGAGAGUAGUCCUUUUGGUCCUACACAGUGCUACUUAAACACAAAGAUUAAGUGAUACCACCUAAGGUUACAGAUCUGGAAGUUAGAUGUCCAGUCAAAUUGAGAGUCCAAGGAAGGAGGCACGCAUUUCCAGAAGGUGACUUGGUGAGGUGCCAUCCUUUGAGGAAACCUUUGACCAGGUCCUCUUUGCAAUCUGCAAAGAGGAAAAUCCUAUAUUUUAGACAACUAAUGUUUGUUCAGUUAAUCCCAUGUGUCUGUUUGCAUGAAUUCUGUCUUUUUUUAAGCCAGCCUUUUUUAAUUCACUCUAUCUUUUAGCCCAGUUUCUUAAAGCAACACCAUUAAAAAACAAACAAGCAAACAAAACCCCACUCUUCUACAGUAUUUGUGCUGAAGAUCCCAGCUUUAUGACUAUUUUGUGCUUUGCUACUCAGUGAUCUAACACAAGGAAAUUAUCCACCCUUGGCAAAGCUGAGGCUGCUGUGUGACAGUGGUCAGUUACACCUUCACUUUCUCAUGACUCAUCUAAGGAGGGUUUCUAGUCUUGGGGAGUCUGAAUGGAUUAUGGUUCUAGAAUACCCAGUAUAAUGCUUCUCUAUAGCCUACCAGAAAGGAGCACCUAGGUGACUCAUUACUGUAAGAGGAAAUGCACUGGCAAGAUUGACAAAAGUAUGCAUGCUAUCAUCAUGUCACUCAUAACAUGCUCUUCAAACAAACAAAUUCAUCUCCUCCUGCUGCUGUAUGACUUUAGAAGAAACUCCAUGACUACUAAUUUUCCAGGGAUGGACUACUUUAUGACAAGGGCGUUGAUCUGAAUUCAGGAAAUGCUCGAGAUUCAUCACUGAAUGUCAUAAUUGGAUUGACUAUUGGUUACCCAAAGUAGCUGUGCCCUUGCCUGGGGUCCAGCAGGCUGGGUUAAUGCAUUGGCUGUAUCACUGGCUCCUUGAUCUUAGGCUUCACUGCAUUUGUGACACACCUGUUUUAUAGGGUCUUACAGCCUUCUUUUGUAGUACAAGGAAAUAGGCAAAGUUAAAUUUAAUCAUUUAAAGAUUGUAAUCUGGUCUAAACUAAUUGUGUAGGUGUUGUUGUUGUACCAGGGAUUAGCUCAUCAUAGAGACCCUACCCUAGCCUUCUCUCUGGAGAAGCUGAUCUCUCAUCAUGGACUCUAGAGGGAGCCUGGAUGACUGCUUCAGAGCAGAUUUGCAAUUUCUAGAUAGCUAAAAUGAGGUGAUACACACCCUGGCAGGGCUAUUUUCUACCUAAGAGUUCUCAUUACAUUUUUCUAUCUCAGCAAAAUGCAACAUUGACUCUUGGAAGCUGUGUAGUUCCAGUUGUGUUUUACUUAUGCUCUGGUGAGAAGGUACAAGGAAACUGCAGGUAUCAGAAGUGAAACUCAAAGAUAAUGGGGACCUUUAUACACUGAUGAACAAUUCCUGUGGCUGUCACUUUGCUGAUGAAUAGAAAAAAAAUGACAGAAGCACUGGUAAAUAUUGGUGUUUUGCAGUACUAAGGGAAAAUUCAAGAAAAAUCUGUAUCUUUAGUUCUGUUCUUCCUCAUCAUAAUAAUUAACUCUACUACAGUUAUUUUACAGCAGUACACUUAUUUAAUUGUAUUACAGAUCUGUUUGGACCCUGUCCUUGUCUACUUGCUUGUCAGGACUCUCAGACGUUGUCUCAGUAACUUUUGAACCUGUUGCUCAAUUUUAAAUGAAUUUAACAGCUGGACAAAAGUUCUGUAAAUACAAAAAUACUGCAAGUUUUGUGAAAAAAUGUUGCUGUGUGAAGAGGAAAAAUUCCAGAAAAGAACCAUCCGCAUGCGAUACGCUGCAGGGUGAAACCCUCACUGAAGAAGCAGUAAGGAUGGAGCUGCAGGAGACAAAACUCUGUAAGCUCUGCUGUUCAUGGAACUGCUUUUCUUUGCAAUUCUCUUCUGUUUAAAGAAGGAACUGCUUCUCUACCUUUGUCCCAAAUCUAAAUAAAAUUCUUUUAUUCUGUAGGAUCUGUACGCUGUGGUCAUGCAAUUGCAUUAUGGUCUGAUGAGUUUGGGAAGACAAAGCCUAAUUUAGAACCGUAUUAUAAAAAGAAAAGUAGAAAACCCUCAAAGUCCCAGUCCUAUGGUAAAAUUUGCUUAAAUGCAUCUUUGGUAUUUUUUUUAGUGGUCACCUACUUUUGCAAUGUUGAUUUCAGCAACGUAAGGUCACCCAGAG
rnacentral:lncRNA from 1 species